UGGAUCCAACAGGCACAAAGUUGGAACAUGUUCUGGUCAAAGCCAGAGAAUCUGUGUAGUACUUAUGGUUUAAUUUGUGUGGCAAUUUGGGGUUCUGUAAUAAUCUGUCAUUGAAUCCAUUGUAAGCGUUUACCAGGAUUCAGCCCUUUGGAUGGUGAUUCACGGGAUGCAGGGGACUUUUCAGGUUGGAUAUGAUGGAGCAAGAGUAGUUUUAAUUACUGGAACUAAAAGUGAGUGUGAGGAAGAAUUUUUGUUCUUGUAUUAGUUUGUAUCACAAUGAGAGGACUAGUGUUACGCCCCGUAUUUUUAUACAUUGGGACAACCCGGAUUAAUUAUGAUAAUUUAGAGCCAAGACUAUUCCGGGAUUCGAAGUCGGGACUUUUGACCUUUGAUUUUAUUUCGAGGCAUAAGUUAUAUAUGGAAUUGUUGGCAUUGAACACUUAGGAAAAAUUUGGGACCACAAUUCAUAAAUUGGAAUUAAAAUGUUGUGCAAAAAAAUAAAAAAUAAAAAAUAAAUUCCUUGGUGGCCAUGUAAAUGGGAAUUGGUCCCACACAUUAUGUGGCCAAUUUUAAUUGGUCCACUCCAUGUGUGGGCCAAGGACACUUGGACAACAACUAUAUGAGCCUAAAGUAUGACCAAGUAGUCAUCUUUUCCCCAUUGCAAGACUUAGAAAAAAAAAUCAAGGAGUUGAAGACCACCUUCAACACCCCUCUCGGCUACAAACCAAGAAAAACCAAAUCCAAAUCAAGCCACCCCAAAAUUAUUUCCUUGGUAUAAAUCAACUAUUUAGAAGUCCCUAAGUAACGUGGAAGAGUUGUUUGGGUCAUCCAACCACUAGUUGUGCCCAAUUGCAAACCCUAACUAUUGAAGUGAAGAAGGAAGACCUUGGGCAGCCCGAAUCAUAGUUUGGACUUAGCUUGAGUUGGAUCAUAUUGGAGAGCGUUUGAGGUACAGACGCACAGCCUGGUGAUCCACCUGUUUAGGACACCCUUUCUGCUAUUCGGAGUGCUCCUCUCUUUCCGGAGCUUAUACUUUUGGUAUAUAUAUUUAUUAGUGCAUUUGUAUAUAUUCGUUCAUGGGUACGGCGGGGCCCUGUCCCGUCAUAUGAUUCUGUCGGUCUGUUUAGAGGUCUGUGGACAUGUUUGUGGGUUAGGGUCUUUCUGUAUGAAUGUAUGUACAUGUCGUUUGGGCGAUCCCAUACGCCGAGGCGGCCGGUCCGCAUAUGUUGUUUGGGCGACCCUAUACGCCGAGGCGGCCGGUCCGCAUAUGUUUAUAUAUUGCUUGGUUAGCCCUGUGUGGCUUUCGUUGGUAUUUUCUGCGUGCAGGGUAUAUUGGAUAGUCCGUAAAACAAAGGAAACUCUGCCGAAAUUUUUCUGGAAAUUACCUAAAUUUGAAAUAAAGCCUUGUCGGCUUCCGCCAUAUACUAGAAUGAGUUGAUAGAAUUUGAGAUAAUAUUUAAUAGAUGGGUUCGGGUGCCCAGAUCGGGCACUAGUCACGGCCUACGGGGUUGGGUCGUGACAACUAGUUCGUGCUAGAAAUUACCACUGGGGAUAAGCUAUUUAUGUAAGAGUUCAGGGAGGGGGGAAAUACUCAAAAGAAACAGAUUCAAGGCAAAUUGCUUUUGGUCUGUGGAUUUGUGAUAAGCUAUAUAUGUAAGAGUUCAGGGAGGGGGGGAAUACUCAAAAGAAACAGAUUCAAGGCAAAUUGCUUUUGGUCUGUCGAUUUGUGAUAAGCUAUAUAUGUAAGAGUUCAGGGAGGGGGGGAAUACUCAAAAGAAACAGAUUCAAGGCAAAUUGCUUUUGGUCUGUGGAUUGUGGUAAUUCUGUCAGUUGUAAUUGGGACUUUGGAAGAAUAAGGAAAAAGAUGUAUUUCCUAUAAUGAUUUGGAGGUGUUUUCAUACAAAGAGCUUAAUGCUAGCUGCAACGAAGGGAUUCUCGGAGAAGCUUGGUCAUGAACUGUUUUCUUAUCGGAUUCUUCACUCGUGGCUGCGAAGGCCUGGUGGUGGUGAAAAGGAAUUUCAAGCAGAGGUAUGCACAAUAGGAGCAUGUUAAUCUAGUGAGAUUAAGGGGAUUUUAAUUUGUUCUGAAAAUUCUCAUAGGCUUCUAGUUUAUGAGUUCAUGUCCUCUUAGCGCAUAUCUAAGGCGAGAUGGUCAGAAUCUAAGUUGGGACGUUAGAUUCCGAAUUUCUGUUUACACGAAGUGUAUCGCAAUUGUUUAAUACACUGACAUUAAACUAGAGAAUUAAUAUUCUGCUAGAUGAAGAUUUUGCAGGAAAGGUUUCUGAUUUUGGACUUGUAAAGGGACUUUAGUAUAGUGUUGGCAACCAUGAUGGGUACCUGGGGCUGUGUUGCACCCGAAUGGAUCUCUAGAUUGGUGAUCACAACUAAAGCUGAUGUAUAUAGCUAUGGCAUGACAUUAUUGGAACUGAUGUAGAGGCACACCACCUUCAGCUAUAUGUGAAAAGGGUGGAGCAGAGAAGAAGUUGGUUCGGGUAACGGUACGUCAUGGGAUGGAGGUUUCAGCUCUGCAGGUUAUAAUCCCCAACAUUCAAUAUAUUCCAGGGACUCUCAAGCUUCAGUUUAGGUCUGCUUCUCAACCAACUUGUACAUAUGCAAGUUGAUUUUCCCAACCUUCACUGAAUGUAGACUUUCUUUCUUGUCUUUACAAAAUCCAAUACUGAGAAUUAGUAGCAAAAUGCUCAUCAUGGGAUUUUGUAUAAUGUAUUCAUGAGUGUAGAGAGUCUGUUUGCAUGACAACUUAGCUAAAGUUUUCACCUAA